UGAAAUAACAAUAGGAGGCUUGUAUACUAGAGACUUUAUUCACCAUCUCAAAUUCUUGUCCACCAUGUGUUACACCGAUUGCUAAUGAAGAGUUUCACAACAUAGAAAAUGAUGAUUAUCAUAAAUUUUACUUCUGCUUAUCCCAUGCUGGCAUGGGUUAGAGGAAGACUUACUGAAGUUGAUUUUCUACUGGUCAAGAAUGCCAAAAACACAGCAGCAUUUAAACAGUGUCAGAAGAAAUAUGUUAUGCGACCUGGUUAAUACCUUAGAAGACAAACUUCAAGCCAACCAAAGCCUUGUGAGUGAAUUUGGUAGACAGAAAGUGAAAGAAGACGUACUUACGUACGCAACGGUUUUCUUUUUUCGGAUGCAGAACAACUUUACAGACUUUAGUUACUGAAGUUCGAAAAUUUGAUAAGCUCUUAUCAUAAAGAGAAGAAAAUGGUGAGGUUUUGAAACUGACCUUUUAUUUGAGAGGGCAGGAAAGAAACAUGAGUAUCUUAGACUCCUCCACAGUGAAAAAGUUUAUCUAAAUUUACAAAUUCCCUAAAUAAU